rnacentral:rRNA from 1 species
CACGUAGGGUGCGAGCGUUGUCCGGAAUUAUUGGGCGUAAAGAGCUCGUAGGCGGUGUGUCGCGUCGGCCGUGAAAACCUGCAGCUUAACUGUGGGCGUGCGGUCGAUACGGGCAUCACUGGAGUUCGGCAGGGGAGACUGGAAUUCCUGGUGUAGCGGUGAAAUGCGCAGAUAUCAGGAGGAACACCGGUGGCGAAGGCGGGUCUCUGGGCCAUUACUGACGCUGAGGAGCGAAAGCGUGGGGAGCGAACAGG